UGUCGCUGACCAAAGGAUUACCCAAU
rnacentral:piRNA from 1 species